CCAGACUCCUACGGGAGGCAGCAGUGGGGAAUAUUGCACAAUGGGGGGAACCCUGAUGCAGCGACGCCGCGUGGGUGAAGGAGCACCUCGGUGCGUAAAGCCCUAUCGGCAGGGAAGAAAAGCGAACAGGUUCGCCUGGACGGUACCUGACUAAGAAGCCCCGGCUAACUACGUGCCAGCAGCCGCGGUAAUACGUAGGGGGCAAGCGUUAUCCGGAUUCACUGGGUGUAAAGGGAGCGUAGACGGCGACGCAAGUCUGGAGUGAAAGCCCGGGGCCCAACCCCGGGACUGCUCUGGAAACUGCGUCGCUGGAGUACGGGAGGGGCAGGCGGAAUUCCUGGUGUAGCGGUGAAAUGCGUAGAUAUCAGGAGGAACACCGGCGGCGAAGGCGGCCUGCUGGACCGUGACUGACGUUGAGGCUCGAGAGCGUGGGGAGCAAACAGGAUUAGAUACCCCAGUA
rnacentral:rRNA from 1 species